UCUCAACAGACUGUGCUCAUAUAUCCAUAGUCUGCAACCAAAGGGGGUUUAUAGAUUGAGGACAGCAAUCUUUGAGAUGAUUGACAGCUGAUUCGUUCGGUGAUGAUGAGGUGCACGUGUCCAAGGAAAACAGACAUGAUGGAAAAUUUGAACAGGGGCCGGUUCUAAUUUCUGCUCAGAGUAAUUAUGAUAAAUGACAAGCGGGGGGCAAUCAUGGGGCCACGCACUUCUCCUAGUCACCUUCAAAGCUCGUGUUUGCUCAACAGAGGAAUCACCGCGCAUCCCAAUUAACCCAUCGACUGACAGGAGGAUGACAAUAUUGCCACUGCCGCUGCCUCCUGUUGUUAUUGUAAAACUUUGAUUCAGUUGCUUUGAUUUUCUUUCCAAACUUAUGAGGCGUUGCACAGAUUUCCGAGCCCCUCUGUUGACAAUAAUGCAACUUCAAUCAUUUUCAACGAGGUGAUUGUGUCAAGCAACGGAUGUCUCAACUUAAUUUCAAUUAUGUCUUUGAAGAGAGUGGUAUGUUGUAUCCUCUGGACCCAAUUAAAGCUGUUUUUAACCUGU